rnacentral:rRNA from 1 species
AGAGUUUGAUCCUGGCUCAGAACGAACGCUGGCGGCGCGUCUUAAGCAUGCAAGUCGAACGGCAAGAGAGAAGCUUGCUUCUCUCCUAGAGUGGCGGACUGGUGAGGAACACGUGGGUAAUCUACCCUUAAGAUGGGGAUAGCUGUUAGAAAUAGCAGGUAAUACCGAAUACACUCGAUAGUUCAUAAGAAGUAUUGAGGAAAGGAAGCUACGGCUUCGCUUGAGGAUGAGCUUGCGUCCCAUUAGCUAGUUGGUGAGGUAAAGGCCCACCAAGGCGACGAUGGGUAUCCGGCCUGAGAGGGUGAACGGACACAUUGGGACUGAGAUACGGCCCAAACUCCUACGGGAGGCAGCAGCUAAGAAUAUUCCGCAAUGGACGGAAGUCUGACGGAGCGACGCCGCGUGGAUGAAGAAGGCUGAAAAGUUGUAAAAUCCUUUUGUUGAUGAAGAAUAAGGGUGAGAGGGAAUGCUCAUCUGAUGACGGUAAUCGACGAAUAAGCCCCGGCUAAUUACGUGCCAGCAGCCGCGGUAACACGUAAGGGGCGAGCGUUGUUCGGAAUUAUUGGGCGUAAAGGGCAUGUAGGCGGUUAUGUAAGCCUGAUGUGAAAUCCUGGGGCUUAACCCCAGAAUAGCAUUGGGUACUGUGUAACUUGAAUUACGGAAGGGAAACUGGAAUUCCAAGUGUAGGGGUGGAAUCUGUAGAUAUUUGGAAGAACACCGGUGGCGAAGGCGGGUUUCUGGCCGAUAAUUGACGCUGAGAUGCGAAAGUGUGGGGAUCGAACAGGAUUAGAUACCCUGGUAGUCCACACUGUAAACGAUGUACACUAGGUGUUGGGGCAAGAGCUUCAGUGCCAAAGCAAACGCGAUAAGUGUACCGCCUGGGGAGUAUGCCCGCAAGGGUGAAACUCA